UUUUGUUUUUCCUUAUCUAAAGUUUGACUAUUCGUUUUAUUCGAAUUUUUUUUGUGAUUAAUAUUUUUAUUCUUACUAGAUAAUAAAACAUGAAUAGGACUUUAUGCAUGACUAAUUUGUUAAACUUUUUAUAAACUUUUAAAUAAAACGAAUGAUCAAUCGUUGAAUACGGAAAAACGAACCUAUU
rnacentral:pre_miRNA from 1 species